GAACUGCGAUAAGUAAUGUGAAUUGCAGAAUUCAGUGAAUCAUCGAGUCUUUGAACGCACAUUGCGCCCCCUGGCAUUCCGGGGGGCAUGCCUGUCCGAGCGUCAUUGCUGCCCUUCAAGCCCGGCUUGUGUGUUGGGUCGUCGUCCCCUCCGGGGGACGGGCCCGAAAGGCAGCGGCGGCACCGCGUCCGGUCCUCGAGCGUAUGGUGCUUUGUCACCCGCUCGAUAAGGACCGGCCGGGCGCCAGCCGGCGUCUCCAACCUUUUUUUCUCAGGUUGACCUCGGAUCAGGUAGGGAUACCCGCUGAACUUAAGC
rnacentral:misc_RNA from 1 species